rnacentral:lncRNA from 1 species
AAAAAGAUUUGGAGAGAGAACAAUGUAGACAAUUAAAAAUAAACUCUCUUCUCUCUCUACAAGAGCAAAGACAAAGCUAAAUGAGAGAGGGUAAAGAGAGUGUGAGUUUGUGCUUGUGUUAAAGAAAAAACACAAGUGAGUACAAGAGAGUGAAGGCCAAGCCAAGAGCCAAAAUCACAACAUGGUAUCAGAGCUCACUUGAUUCGUGGAGGCUGUUCAAGAAGAAGAUGAAGUCAGUUGAAGAGAGAGACUGAAGAAGAGAAGAUGGAGACAGCCAUCAAAGAAGAAGAAGAGCGCCGGUGAGAUAGAAACCAGCGAGAAGCAGCGAGAGCUUCACCAUAGAGAUAUAAUGACAGAGAAGUUGCUGGAGAUUGAUGAGGGGACAGAGAAACCCCUGUCAAGGUAGAGUAAAGAAGCCUACAGGAGAAGAGCAUGAGGCAAAGAACAAGAAAAAUUGUCUCCAAGAGGGAGACAUGAAAAAAAAGAAGAAGAAAGAAGACCAUGGUGGAGGUCAAAGAAGAUUAAGGAAGCUAUGGGAGUUGUUGUAUGUUCUUAGCCAUUAGAGAUGGAGGAGACCAACAGCAACUGAACAAAGAAACCAAUGAAGCCCAAAUCCAUGUUUUAAGCUGAAGAGCCAGAGAUGAUCAAAGCUGAAGAUGGAAGAGCCUUGGUUAGAAAUCAAGGUGAAAGUUCAAAGAAUCAAAGAGUCCAAGGCCAAUGAAGCUGAGGUGAUGAUUCAGAGAACUAGAGGGCACAAAUUGGUGAAGAAGAAGACUGAGCCAAAGGGCUAAAAGAGAAGAAAAGGAACCAUAAGAAGAGAUGGUUCAAGAACAAGAGAUGAGGCAUAAAGCACAAGAAGAUCACGAGAACAAGAUCAGUUAUGGUGAGAAGGCAAAGAAGUUGGUGAUGAAGGAGAAGCUCAGGACUUGGAUGAUGGUGAAUUCAAUACAUGGUUGUGCUAGGAGAGUCUAAGAAACCAAAGAUACUAGGUUAGGCCAAGUUGAUGGUUAGGAGAAAACCUAACAUACUAAAGGCAAAGAAGACUGAGGUGAAGGUUAAGAGAAACCAUGAAGACCAAAGUUGAAGAAGGCCUAGGUGAUGGUUCAAAGAAUCAAGUUGAACAAGUAGAUGAUCAAUGAAGACAUUGAAACCAAAGAAAGAGUGGAAGCCGGAUGAAGCAAUGAUUGAAGCCAAGAAACCAAACCGAGAAGAAUGAGACUUGCUUAAGGGAGCAAGGUGGUUGGAGAGUCACCCAAAGAAGACGUGACAGGAGCUCACAGAAGAGACGUGACAGAAGCUCACGGAGGAGACGUGACAAAGGCUCACGGGAACAUAGGAAGAUGGCGAAGAAAACCAGUCAUGAGAUGACAAAGAAAAUUCGCAGAACAAGGAGAUGGUGAUCUUGGAAAUUCUUGUCAAGAGGGAGAUAAGAAUCACAAGUGAAGAACAAGGAAGAUGGGAUCAAGUCCCUAAAUGGAGUUGGAGAUUUAAUAAAAGGAUUCAAGAGGGAGUGUUGAGAUUAAACCUUGAUUAAAUACUCCAAGAAAAGAAGAAUAAAGAAGAGUAGCUAGAAGAAGCUACAAAGGAAUGGAAGAGGAAGAAGAGGAAGGAGAAGCUUGGAGCGCAAGCAACAGAGGAAGAAGAAGAAGAAGUAAGACCAACGACAACAACAAGAAGUCAAGGAAGAGACUUGGUUGUAACUAGAAGAUACAGCAAGGAGACUAAGAGUAAAGUCUAGUUAGUUUAGUUAAGCCAACAAAUGUGUGAAAUGUUGGUUAAUGUCUAGCUAGUCUAGAGUUGUUGUUUGAGUUGGUAAGAGUUUGUUUGUAGAGUUAAAGCUAAGUUGUAGUAGUUAGUAAAAAACUACUAUAAGUAUGUAUGUGGGUGG